CUAACCAGUAUUCCAUUGUUUAGUUAAGCCUGCUCAAUGUAAAAAUAAAUGGCCGCAGAAUUUCCUGUGCUAAGGUAGCAUAAUAAUUUGCCUUUUAAUUCAAGGCUAGAAUGAAAGGUAUUACAUAUUGAUAACUUUAUUAACAAAACAUAUUUAACCUAACCUUUUAGUAAAAAGGCUAAAAUAUUUAAGUAGACGACAAGACCCUGACAAACUUUACAUUUUUGUUUAACUGGGGGGGUUAGAAAACUUUAUCUUUUCGAAUUUUAAAUCAUCAGAAACCUUCUAUAUUUUAUCCAAGUUACUGCAGGGAUAACAGCAUAAUCUUUUCCUAAAGAUCUUAUUUAAGAAAAAGUUUGUGACCUCGAUGUUGAAUUAGAAACCUAUACGGAGCAAAAUCUUUACAAGUAAGUCUGUUCGACUUUUAAUAUUCUACAUGAUUUGAGUUCAGACCGGCGCAAGCCAGGUCGGUUUCUAUCUCUUUUAAAGAAAUUUCAGUACGAAAGGACCAAAAUUCUAAUCUUUCAUUACCC
rnacentral:rRNA from 1 species